GACGAACGCUGGCGGCGUGCUUAACACAUGCAAGUCGAACGGAAAGGCCCUGCUUUUGUGGGGUGCUCGAGUGGCGAACGGGUGAGUAACACGUGAGUAACCUGCCCUUGACUUUGGGAUAACUUCAGGAAACUGGGGCUAAUACCGGAUAGGAGCUCCUGCUGCAUGGUGGGGGUUGGAAAGUUUCGGCGGUUGGGGAUGGACUCGCGGCUUAUCAGCUUGUUGGUGGGGUAGUGGCUUACCAAGGCUUUGACGGGUAGCCGGCCUGAGAGGGUGACCGGCCACACUGGGCCUGAGAUACGGCCCAGACUCCUACGGGAGGCAAGAGUGGGGAAUAUUGCACAAUGGGCGGAAGCCUGAUGCAGCAACGCCGCGUGCGGGAAGACGGCCUUCGGGUUGUAAACCGCUUUCGCCUGUGACGAAGCGUGAGUGACGGUAAUGGGUAAAGAAGCACCGGCUAACUACGUG
rnacentral:rRNA from 1 species